GACAGAGGGUGCAAACGUUGUUCGGAUUUACUGGGCGUAAAGCGCGUGUAGGCGGCUUGGCAAGUUGGAUGUGAAAGCCCACGGCUCAACCGUGGAAGCGCAUCCAAAACUGCUUCGCUCGAGUCUCGGAGAGGAAGGUGGAAUGCUUGGUGUAGAGGUGAAAUUCGUAGAUAUCAAGCAGAACACCUGCGGCGAAGGCGGCCUUCUGGACGAUGACUGACGCUGAGACGCGAAAGCGUGGGUAGCAAACAGG
rnacentral:rRNA from 1 species